rnacentral:rRNA from 1 species
GAUGAACGCUGGCGGCGUGCCUAAUACAUGCAAGUCGAGCGAACGUACGAGAGGCUUGCUUUUCUGAUGUUAGCGGCGGACGGGUGAGUAACAAGUCGAUAACCUACCUAUAAGACUGGGAUAACUUCGGGAAACCGGAGCUAAUACCUGAUCAUAUUUUGAACCGCAUGGUUCAAAAGUGAAAGACGGUCUUGCUGUCACUUAUAGAUGGAUCCGCGCUGCAUUAGCUAGUUGGUAAGGUAACGGCUUACCAAGGCAACGAUGCAUAGCCGACCUGAGAGGGUGAUCGGCCACACUGGAACUGAGACACGGUCCAGACUCCUACGGGAGGCAGCAGUAGGGAAUCUUCCGCAAUGGGCGAAAGCCUGACGGAGCAACGCCGCGUGAGUGAUGAAGGUCUUCGGAUCGUAAAACUCUGUUAUUAGGGAAGAACAUAUGUGUAAGUAACUGUGCACAUCUUGACGGUACCUAAUCAGAAAGCCACGGCUAACUACGUG